AUGCGAUAACUUGAAAAAUCACAAGAAUUGAAAUUCAUAAAUUUUGGAUGUUACAUUACCUAUGCAUCGAUUAACAGUUCUACGUUGCGACCAGACUCCAGAACGGCCGCUACAAUGUCUGGAACGUGGACCCUCAAAGGUUCACAUUUUAUCGCUAUGAACGAUAUAUACACAUGUGUAAUUAAGUAAGGAAGUAGAAUUCAAGUAUUUAUAAAAAAAGACUAACAAUGAACUCAAGAGAAAAAUUAAGAAUUUACCUGUACACAUAGCUUUGAGACCGUCCCAUUGCGACAAAGGUAAACAAUUGCGAACUUUACUUCCACGAAGUUGAUAGCCGGUUUCGCAUCUGAAUUGACAACGGGAGUCGAUUGGAUACAUUGUCGUAUCUUCUGUGCUCAAAUGUUGGUCCUCGUCGUUUUGACAGCGCAUUCGUCCGUGUGUAGGAACGCGAAGUGCCGGACAGGUCUUCACUGUUUCAGCAAUCUAUUGUUUACGUAUAUUGCAAUCGAACCAACUACGUUCAAUAGAGAUGUGUAACGAGACUCACGCAAACAUUUCGGUUCGUUCCCGGACCAGUUACCGUCUUUUCCGCAAAGUCGAAUACUAUCACCCGUCAG